rnacentral:lncRNA from 1 species
GACAAGAAGGCUUUGUUCUUUUUUUCUUUCUAAACAAAGAUACAUGCAUUAUUCAGUUCCAAAUUGAGAAAGCCCACAAUAGGCAGAGUACAGAAGGUUCGCCAUAAAGGCACGAAACCAAGGGAGUUCAACCAAACAUAAAACAUCUAGGAUAUUUACAGAGCCGGAACACCCUACAAGAGCACACAUGCUUGGAUACACGAGAAGUCACACACAACCGCUCUAAGUAACAAUGAUAGGAUAUCUAGCAAUGCUAUGAAUGUGACAGAGAUUGUUCGUCGCCGGCUGCAUGCCCCCAGAGUCCGGGUGCUUCCCCAACGACACCCAUUGCUGCAAUAACAAAAGGCAUUUAAAAAAUCAGCAGUCUGAGCCGAAAAAAUGACCUUGAUAGUAAUUUUGUUAUGAAUAUGCCAAUGGCCCAUAGAAGAACCCCAAGCCACACAAAGCAGUUAGGAUCGUAAGAAGCUCUGUGCCCAACAAAGGGUUCCAGCUCAUGUCCACAGCUUACCUAACCGCACUCCUUGCGGAGUGUGCUAAGGGGCAUCUCAAGAAUACGUGGUUAGCAUCCUCCUGUAUUGCGCAAUUCCCUUUAGAGGGCUUGUUACAUUUGUCCAUAUUAUCGGAAGUCGAAAGCCCUAUUCCUAAACAUUUGCCACAAGAAAUUUUAACUUUAAGAGGCAAGCUGGCUUUCCAAAGCCCCCUAGCCAUGUCUAUGAAGGGCCCUUCAGAAGUUUGGCGUACGGGGAUUUGGCCGAGAAUUGGCGAGGUGCCAUGACAUGAUGUUUGUUUCAUUGGUAAGGCUAACACUACGAAGCCUCGAGCGCAAAGUAGUCCAGCUUGUGAUCUCAGAGGAGAAAGUUUGUGAUGAAAAGCUAUUGAAGGCUAGGAUGUGAGAAGGACCUCCGUCACCAAUAUAUCCAAAUGAGCUGCCAUGGAUUAAGCUCCUCGAAUCCUAUCCAGAGUGGUUCGAGACUUCAUCAUCCUGAAUGCCCAAUUGAUGCUACCCAGGGCCAGUCAAAACGUUCCAGUGGGUCAAUUGAAUUCAAGUCUAAGGCACUAAACGCAUACUUGGUCAUUCUUGCAACGCCACCAUGUGGAUAUUCUCUCUACUCAUAUAUUCUUUCAAUUGUGUCCUCCUACGAGUGUAGCCGAAACCACGCAUGUUCUAGAAUAGGUAGCGCAUUAUAAGAUACAAUUCUUGAUGCGAACUCCCCUUGAGCUCACAACCUUGAUCACAUGCCUCACCGUCCUAACACGGCGAGCAGAGGAAGGGUCCGUAGCUCCUGGUACAUUCUCUUCCGCCUUGGGCAACAUGACAUUAACCCUGGAAGCCACAACUUUUGUGCCAACCGACGCAGCUUUGGCCGCAACAGCCCCCGCCAGAGAUACAUGUGCCAACUCGCUAGACCUAACUAGUAAUAAAAACUCGGCCUUGAGUGCAUUGCACAAUCUAAUGCUACCCCACAAUCAUCCAUAAUCUCAAGCCAUCUUGCACUUGCAACUACCGGUGGUUUAGCAGAGAGAGAGGGGGGAGAGAGAGAGGGAGAGGGAGAGCGUUAAAAAGAACAGUUUAGUCCUUUUGCAUUGGUGUAAAAUGAGAUAAAUCUUGAAGUGCUUCUUCCUCAAAAGGCCCUUCUACGUUUCAUCAUUUAAACUUCCUCAAACCAUGUGGCUCCAGUCGCAUCAUGCAUACCCUCGGCGUCCUCAUGGACGUUAUUGAGCAGUGUCGCCAUGUUCAUCCCUUUAGAGCAUCUUCAACACCUGCCCUAUUAUAGGUCUGUACUGCCAUUUUUGGAUUUUGGAGGGCAAAAAACGUCUCCAACAGCUGGCCAAAAACUCCAACAUGAUCAAAAAAGAUGAUGGACAAAAAUAUCAUUUUCUAAUAUUUUUAAGGGGUUUGUACUGAAGUACUUUUUGUUAGUUUUUUUAUGACUGGAACUGCAGGAGCUCUGCAUCCUAUGUACCUAAAAUGUAGUUCCCCCUAACUGUUGGGGAACGUAGUAAUUUUAAAAAAAUUCCUACGCACACGCAAGAUCAUGGUAAUGCAUAGCAACGAGAGGGGAGAGUGUGAUCUACGUACCCUUGUAGACCGACAGCGGAAGCGUUGUGACAACGCGGUUGAUGUAGUCGUACGUCUUCACGAUUCGACCGAUCCAAGCACCGUUACUCCGGCACCUCCGAGUUCUUGGCACACGUUCAGCUCGAUGACGAUCCCCGGGCUCCGAUCCAGCAAAGCGUCAGGGAGGAGUUCCGUCAGCACGACGGCGUGGUGACGAUUUUGAUGUUCUACCGUCGCAGGGCUUCGCCUAAGCACUGCUACAAUAUGACUGAGGUGGAAUAUGGUGGAGGGGGGCACCGCACACGGCUAAGGAACGAUCACGAAGAUCAACUUGUGUUCAUGGGGUGCCCCUUGCCUCAGUAUAUAAAGGAUGGAGGAGGAGGAGGCCGGCCAAGGCAAUUGGUGCGGCCAGGAUGUGGAGUCCUACUAGGACUCCAAGUCCUAGUAGGAGUCCACCAAGAGGGGAGGAAGGGAGAAGGAAGUAGAGGAGAAGGAAAGGUGGCCGGCCCCCUUUUCCCUAGUCCAAUUCGGGCCAGAGGGGAGGGGGGGCGCAGCAGCCCCUUGGCCCUUUCUCCUCUUCCCACUAAAGCCCAUCAAGGCCCAUUGCUUCUCCCGUAACUACCCGGUACUCCGAAAAAUACCCGAAUCACUCGGAAUCUUUCCGAUGUCCGAAUAUAGUCGUCCAAUAUAUCGAUCUUUACGUCUCGACCAUUUCGAGACUUCUCGUCAUGUCCCCGAUCUCAUCCGGGACUCCGCAACUCCUUCGGUACAUCAAAACUCAUAAACUCAUAAUAUAACUGUCAUCAAAACCUUAAGCGUACGGACCCUACGGUUCGAGAACAAUGUAGACAUGACCGAGACAUGUCUCCGGUCAAUAACCAAUAGUGGGACCUGGAUGCCCAUAUUGGCUCCUACAUAUUCUACGAAGAUCUUUAUCGGUCAGACCGCAUAACAACAUACGUUGUUCCCUUUGUCAUCGGUAUGUUACUUGCCCGAGAUUCGAUCGUCGGUAUCCAAUACCUAGUUCAAUCUCGUUACCGGCAAGUCUCUUUGCUCGUUCCGUAAUACAUCAUCUCACAACUAACUCAUUAGUUGCAAUGCUUGCAAGGCUUAUGUGAUGUGCAUUACCGAGAGGGCCCAGAGAUACCUCUCCGACAAUCGGAGUGACAAAUCCUAAUCUCAAAAUACGCCAACCCAACAUGUACCUUUGGAGACACCUGUAGAGCACCUUUAUAAUCACCCAGUUACGUUGUGACGUUUGGUAGCACACAAAGUGUUCCUCUGGCAAACGGGAGUUGCAUAAUCUCAUAGUCAUAGGAACAUGUAUAAGUCAUGAAGAAAGCAAUAGCAACAUACUAAACGAUCGGGUGCUAAGCUAAUGGAAUGGGUCAUGUCAAUCAGAUCAUUCACCUAAUGAUGUGAUCCCAUUAAUCAAAUAACAACUCUUUGUCCAUGGUUAGGAAACAUAACCAUCUUUGAUUAACGAGAUAGUCAAGUAGAGGCAUACUAGUGACACUCUGUUUGUCUAUGUAUUCACACAUGUAUUAUGUUUCCGGUUAAUACAAUUCUAGCAUGAAUAAUAAACAUUUAUCAUGAUAUAAGGAAAUAAAUAAUAACUUUAUUAUUGCCUCUAGGGCAUAUUUCCUUCAGUCUCCCACUUGCACUAGAGUCAAUAAUCUAGUUCACAUCGCCAUGCGAUUUAAUAGCAAUAGUUCACAUCACCAUGUGAUUAACACCCAUAGUCCACAUCGAUAUGUGACCGACACCCAAAGGGUUUACUAGAGUCAGUAAUCUAGUUCACAUCGCUAUGUGAUUAACAUCCAAAGAGUACUAAGGUGUGAUCAUGUUUUGCUUGUGAGAUAAUUUUAGUCACUGGGUCUGUUAUAUUAAGAUCCGUAAGUAUUUUGCAAAUAUUUAUGUCAACAAUGCUCUGCACGGAGCUACUCUAGCUAAUUGCUCUCACUUUCAAUAUGUAUCUAGAUUGAGACUUAGAUUCAUCUAGAUUAGUGUCAAAACUUGCAUCGGCGUAACCCUUUAUGACGAACCUUUUUUUCACUUCCAUAAUCGAGAAACAUAUCCUUAUUCCACUAAGGAUAAUUUUGACCGCUGUCCAGUGAUCUACUCCUAGAUCACUAUUGUACUCCCUUGCCAAACUCAGUGGUAGGGUAUACAAUAGAUCUGGUACACAGCAUGGCAUACUUUAUAGAACCUAUGACCAAGGCAUAGGGAAUGACAUUCAUUCUCUUUCUAUCUUCUACCGUGGUCGGGCUUUGAGUCUUACUCAAUUUCACACCUUGUAACAUAGGCAAGAAAUUCUUUCUUUGACUGUUCCAUUUUGAACUACCUCAAAAUCUUGUCAAGGUAUGUAUUUAUUAAAAAACCUUAUCAAGUGUCUUGAUCUAUCUCUAUAGAUCUUGAUUCUCAAUAUGUAAGCAACUUCACCGAGGUAUUUUCUUUGAAAAACUCCUUUCAAACACUCCUUUAUGCUUUGCAGAAUAAUUCUACAUUAUUUCCGAUCAACAAUAUGUCAUUCACAUAUACUUAUCAGAAAUGCUGCAGUGCUCCCACUCACUUUCUUGUAAAUACAGGCUUCACCGCAAGUCUGUAUAAAACUAUAUGCUUUGAUCAACUUAUCAAAGCGUAUAUUCCAACUCUGAGAUGCUUACACCAGUCCAUAGAUGGAUCGCUGGAGUUUGCAUAUUUUGUUAACACCUUUAGGAUUGACAAAAACUUCUGGUUGCAUCAUAUACUACUCUUCUUUAAGAAAUCCAUUAAGGAUUGCAGUUUUGUUAUCCAUUUGCCAGAUUUCAUAAAAUGCGGCAAUUGCUAACAUAAUUUGGACAGAUUUAAGCAUAGAUACGAAUGAGAAACUCUCAUCGUAGUCAACACCUUAAAUUUGUCGAAAACCUUUUGCGACAAUUCUAGCUUUAUAGAUAGUAACACUACUAUCAGCGUCCGUCUUCCUCUUGAAGAUCCAUUUAUUUUCUAUGGCUUGCCGAUCAUCGGGCAAGUCAACCAAAGUCCAUACUUUGUUCUCAUACAUGGAUCCCAUCUCAGAUUUCAUGGCCUCAAGCCAUUUUGCGGAAUCUGGGCUCACCAUCGCUUCUUCAUAGUUCGUAGGUUCGUCAUGGUCAAGUAGCAUGACCUCCAGAACAGGAUUACCGUACCACUCUGGUGCGGAUCUCACUCUGGUUUACCUACGAGAUUCGGUAGUAAUUUGAUCUGAAGUUACAUGAUCAUCAUCAUUAGCUUCCUCACUAAUUGGUGUAGUAGUCACAGAACAGAUUUCUGUGAUGAACUACUUUCCAAUAAGAGAGAAGGUACAAUUACCUUAUCAAGUUCUACUUUUCUCCCACUCACUUCUUUCGAGAGAAUCUCCUUCUCUAGAAAGGAUCCAUUCUUAGCAACGAAUGUCUUGCCUUUAGAUCUGUGAUAGAAGGUGUACCCAACAGUAACUUUUUGGGUAUCCUAUGAAGACACACUUUUCUGAUUUGGGUUUGAGCUUAUCAGGAUGAAACUUUUUCACAUAAGCAUUGCAACCCCAAACUUUAAGAAAUGACAAUUUUGGUUUCUUGCCAAACCACAGUUCAUACGGUGUCGUCUCAACAGAUUUAGAUGGUGCCCUUUUAACGUGAAUGCAACUGUCUCUAAUGCAUAACCCCAAAACGAUAGUGGUAGAUCGGUAAGAGACAUCAUAGAUUGCACUAUAUCCAAUAAAGUACGGUUAUGACGUUCGAACACACCAUUAUGCUGUGGUGUUCCAUGUGGCAUGAGUUUGUGAAACUGUUCCACAUUAUUUUAAUUGAAGACCAAACUCGUAACUCAAAUAUUUGUCUCCGCGAUCAGAUCGUAGAAACUUUAUUUUCUUGUCACGAUGAUUUUCUACUUCACUCUGAAAUUCUUUGAACUUUUCAAAUGUUUCAGACUUAUGUUUCAUCAAGUAGAUAUACCCAUAUCUGCUCAAAUCAUCUGUGAAGUUUAGAAAAUAACGAUACUUGCCGUGAGCCUUAACACUCAUCGGACCGCAUACAUCAGUAUGUAUUAUUUCCAAUAAGUCAGUUGCUCGCUCCGGAGAACGGAGUCUUAGUCAUCUUGCCCAUGAGGCAUGGUUCGCAAGCAUCAAGUGAUUCAUAAUUAAGUGAUUCCAAAAUCCCAUCAGCAUGGAGUUUCUUCAUGCGCUUUACACCAAUAUGACCUAAACGGUAGUGCUACAAAUAAGUUGCACUAUCAUUAUUAACUUUGCAUCUUUUGGUUUCAAUAUUAUGAUUAUGUGUAUCACUAUGAUCGAGAUCCAACGAACUAUUUUCAUUGGGUGUGUAACCAUAUAAGGUUUUAUUCAUGUAAACAGAAUAACAAUUUAUUCUCUUACUUAAAUAAAUAACCGUAUUACAAUAAACAUGAUCAAAUCAUAUUCAUGCUUAACGCAAACACCAAAUAACACUUAUUCAGGUUCAACACUAAUCCCGAAAGUAUAGGGAGUGUGUGAUGAUGAUCAUAUCAAUCUUGGAACCACUUCCAACACACAUCGUCACUUCACCCUUAACUAGUCUCUGUUUAUUCUGCAACUCCCAUUUCGAGUUACUAAUCUUAGCAACUGAACUAGUAUCAAAUACUGAGGGGUUGCUAUAAACACUAGUAAAGUACACAUCAAUAACUUGUAUAUCAAAUAUACUUAUGUUCACUUUGCCAUCCUUCUUAUCUGCCAAUCACUUGGGGUAGUUCCGCUUCCAGUGACCAGUCCCUUUGCAGUAGAAACACUUAGUCUCAGGCUUAGGACCAGACUUGGGCUUCUUCACUUGAGCAGCAACUUGCUUGCUGUUCUUCUUGAAGUUCCCCUUCUUCCCUCUGCCCUUUUCUUGAAACUAGUGGUCUUGUCUACCAUCAACACUUGAUGUUUUUCUCGAUUUCUACCUUCGUCAAUUUCCGCAUUACGAAGAGCUUGGGAAUUGUUUCCGUUAUCCCUUGCAUAUCAUAGUUCAUCACAAAGUUCUACUAACUUAGUGAUGGUGACUAGAGAAUUCUGUCAAUCACUAUCUUAUCUGGAAGAUUAACUCCCACUUGAUUCAAGCGAUUGUAGUACUCAGACAAUCUGGGCACAUGCUCACUAGUUGAGCGAUUCUCCUCCAUCUUUUAGCUAUAGAACUUGUUGGAAACUUCAUAUCUCUCAACUCGGGUAUUUGCUUGAAAUAUUAACUUCAACUCCUGGAACAUCUCAUAUGCUCCAUGACGUUCAAAACGUCUUUGAAGUCCCGAUUCUAAGCCAUUAAGCAUGGUGCACUAAACUAUCAAGUAGUCAUCAUAUUGAGCUAGCCAAACGUUCAUAAUGUCUGCAUCUGCUCCUGCAAUAGGUCUGUCACCUAGCGGUGCAUCAAGGACAUAAUUCUUCUGUGCGGCAAUGAGGAUAAACCUCAGAUCACGGAUCCAAUCCGCAUCAUUGCUACUAACAUCUUUCAACACAAUUUUCUCUAGGAACAUAUCAAAAUAAAUACAGGGAAGCAACAACGCGAUCUAUUGAUCUACAACAUAAUUUGCAAAAUACUACCAGGACUAAGUUCAUGAUAAAUUUAAGUUCAAUUAAUCAUAUUACUUAAGAACUCCCACUUAGAUAGACAUCCCUCUAAUCCUCUAAGUGAUUACGUGAUCCAAAUCAACUAAACCAUGUCCGAUCAUCACGUGAGAUGGAGUAGUUUCAUUGGUGAACAUCGCUAUGUUGAUCAUAUCUGUUAUAUGAUUCACGCUCGACCUUUCAGUCUCCGUGUUCCGAGGCCAUAUCUGUAUAUGCUUGGCUCGUCAAGUAUAACCUGAGUAUUCUGCGUGUGCAAUUGUUUUGCACCCGUUGUAUUUGAACGUAGAGCCUAUCACACCCGAUCAUCACGUGGUGUCUCAGCACGAAGAACUUUCACAACGGUGCAUACCCAGGGAGAACACUUCUUGAUAAUUAGUGAGAGAUCAUCUUAUAAUGCUACCGUCAAUCAAAGCAAGAUAAGAUGCAUAAAAGAUAAACAUCACAUGCAAUCAAUAUAAGUGAUAUGAUAUGGCCAUCAUCAUCUUGUGCUUGUGAUCUCCAUCCUCGAAGCACCGUCGUGAUCACCAUCGUCACCAGCGCGACACCUUGAUCUCCAUCGUAGCAUCGUUGUCGUCUCGCCAAUCUUAUGCUUCCAUGACUAUCGCUACCGCUUAGUGAUAAAGUAAAGCAUUACAGCGCGAUUGCAUUGCAUACAAUAAAGUGACAACCAUAUGGCUCCUGCCAGUUGCCGAUAACUCGGUUACAAAACAUGAUCAUCUCAUACAAUAAAAUUUAGCAUCAUGUCUUGACCAUAUCACAUCACAACAUGCCCUGCAAAAACAAGUUAGACGUCCUCUACUUUGUUGUUGCAAGUUUUACGUGGCUGCUACGGGCUUAAGCAAGAAGCAAUCUUACCUACGCAUCAAAACCACAACGAUAGUUUGUCAAGUUGAUGUUGUUUUAACCUUCGCAAGGACCGGGCGUAGCCACACUCGGUUCAACUAAAAUUGGAGAAACUGUCACCCGCAAGCCAUCUAUGUGCAAAGCACGUCGGGAGAACCGGUCUCGCGUAAGUGUACGCGUAAUGUCGGUCCGGGCCACUUCGUCCAACAAUACCGCCGAACCAAACUAUGACAUGCUGGUAAGUAGUAUGACUUAUAUCGCCCACAACUCACUUGUGUUCUACUCGUGCAUAUAACAUCAACAUAUAAAACCUAGGCUCGGAUGCCACUGUUGGGGAACGUAGUAAUUUCAAAAAAUUUCCUACGCACACGCAAGAUCAUGGUGAUGCAUAGCAAAGAGAGGGGAGAGUGUGAUCUACGUACCCUUGUAGACCGACAGCGGAAGCGUUGUGACAACGCGGUUGAUGUAGUCGUACGUCUUCACGAUUCGACCGAUCCAAGCACCGUUACUCCGGCACCUCCGAGUUCUUGGCACACGUUCAGCUCGAUGACGAUCCCCGGGCUCCGAUCCAGCAAAGCGUCGGGGAGGAGUUCCGUCAGCACGAUGGCGUGGUGACGAUUUUGAUGUUCUACCGUCGCAGGGCUUCGCCUAAGCACUGCUACAAUAUGACCGAGGUGGAAUAUGGUGGAGGAGGGCACCGCACACGGCUAAGGAACGAUCACGAAGAUCAACUUGUGUUCAUGGGGUGCCCCUUGCCUCAGUAUAUAAAGGAUAGAGGAGGAGGAGGCCGGCCAAGGCAAUUGGUGCGGCCAGGAUGUGGAGUCCUACUAGGACUCCAAGUCCUAGUAGGAGUCCACCAAGAAGGGAGGAAGGGAGAAGGAAGUAGAGGAGAAGGAAAGGUGGCCGGCCCCCUUUUCCCUAGUCCAAUUCGGACCAGAGGGGAGGGGGGCGCAGCAGCCCCUUGGCCCUUUCUCCUCUUCCCACUAAAGCCCAUCAAGGCCCAUUGCUUCUCCCGUAACUACCCGGUACUCCGAAAAAUACCCGAAUCAUUCGGAACCUUUCCGAUGUCCGAAUAUAGUCGUCCAAUAUAUCGAUCUUUACGUCUCGACCAUUUCGAGACUCCUCGUCAUGUCCCCGAUCUCAUCCAGGACUCCGAACUCCUUCGGUACAUCAAAACUCAUAAACUCAUAAUAUAACUGUCAUCGAAACCUUAAGCGUGCGGACCCUACGGUUCGAGAACAAUGUAGACAUGACCAAGACAUGUCUCCGGUCAAUAACCAAUAGCGGGACCUGGAUGCCCAUAUUGGCUCCUACAUAUUCUACGAAGAUCUUUAUCGGUCAGACCGCAUAACAACAUACGUUAUUCCCUUUGUCAUCGGUAUGUUACUUGCCCGAGAUUCGAUCGUCGGUAUCUCAAUACCUAGUUCAAUCUUGUUACCGGCAAGUCUCUUUGCUCGUUCCGUAAUACAUCAUCUCACAACUAACUCAUUAGUUGCAAUACUUACAAGGCUUAUGUGAUGUGCAUUACCGAGAGGGCCCAGAGAUACCUCUCCGACAAUCGGAGUGACAAAUCCUAAUCUCGAAAUACGCCAACCCAACAUGUACCUUUGGAGACACCUGUAGAGCACCUUUAUAAUCACCCAGUUACGUUGUGACGUUUGGUAGCACACAAAGUGUUCCUCUGGCAAACGGGAGUUGCAUAAUCUUAUAGUCAUAGGAACAUGUAUAAGUCAUGAAGAAAGCAAUAGCAACAUACUAAACGAUCGGGUGCUAAGCUAAUGGAAUGGGUCAUGUCAAUCAGAUCAUUCACCUAAUGAUGUGAUCCCGUUAAUCAAAUAACAACUCUUUGUCCAUGGUUAGGAAACAUAGCCAUCUUUGAUUAACGAGCUAGUCAAGUAGAGGCAUACUAGUGACACUCUGUUUGUCUAUGUAUUCACACAUGUAUUAUGUUUCCGGUUAAUACAAUUCUAGCAUGAAUAAUAAACAUUUAUCAUGAUAUAAGGAAAUAAAUAAUAACUUUAUUAUUGCCUCUAGGGCAUAUUUCCUUCACUAACUCCAAUUCUCUCUACAUGCAACUAUGCCACAUCAUUAUAUGUGCCAUCCACUCCAUGCAAGCUGCCAUGUCAUCACAAAUUUUCACCUAUGCAAUUGCCACAUCAACAUAUCUUUUUGUUAUAUUUUUAUGAUAAAUGAAAUCUUCGUCUGCAGUUACUGCAAUUGUUAAUUCCCAUCAGUUUGAUUCGCUCUUUCUAACCACUGGUAGAAAAAGGGCCUGUUGUCCCGGUUCGUAAGGGCCUGAACCGGGACUAAAGGGUCGGUACUAAUGCCCUGACCCUUUAGUCCCAGUUCAAACCAGAACCGGGACUAAAGGAAAUUUUCUGAUUUUUUUUUUCAAUUUUUUUUGAAUUUUUUUAUUUUCAAAUUUCUGAAUUAUUUUAACCUCUAAUCUCUAAUCACCCCUCAUCACUGCUCAAUUUAAUCUGUAAUCACCCCUCAUAUUCCAAAUCAUCUAACUUCCCGGACGGUCACCCAUCCUCCCACUCCCCCAGCCUGAGCACGCUUAACUUCCGGGUUCUAUUCUCCCUCGUUUCCAAGUCUAAACUCGUUGUUUUCCGGAUCCUAUUAACCCUCAGGAGUUUAGCUUGAGCAUGAAGUCACACAUUUCACUGUUUGAGUUUGAAACUAUUGUUCUAAAAAACAAUAAUUUUUUAGUAACACUAAUAUUUCUUGAAUAAGUACUUUGACCAUUGUUUGACCAUAGUUUGACCACAGUUUGACCAUAGUUUGACCAGAUUUGACCAAAAUUCAAAAAAACUGAAAUAAUUAUUUAAUAACACUAAUAUUCUUGAAUAAUUACUUAGUAACACAAAUACUUCUUGAAUAAGUAGUUUGACCAUAGUUUGACCAGAUUUAAUGAAAAUUUAAAAAAACUGAAAUUUGAGCAUAACUUUUUUUCCUUUUGGAAUUUGAGGAUUCUACAAAUUUGCAAACAGGCCGUAGGCUGUCUACGAGUAGAUGAUUUUUCAUAUAAAAACUUUUUAAUCCGAGUUCGUAUGCAAAAGUUAUGCCCAUUUUACAAAUUCCAGAGAGAUUUUGUAAAUAAAGUCGAAAUUCAUAUUUGUAAAUUUUCCCAACAACUAGACCACAUAUCACAUGGGAAACUUAUUUUAUUUUAUUUUUUUGACAUUUCAUCAUUUUCUUUUGUUUUUUCUAAAACUAAAAAGGCGGUCCACCGGGGGGGAGUUUGAAAAUGGGACCUUUAGUACCGGUUCGUGCCAUGAACCGGUACUAAUGCCUCAAAGCCCAUUAGUCCCGGUUGGUGGCACCAACCGGGACUAAAGGUCUAACCUUUAGUACCGGUUGGUGCCACCAACCGGGACUAAAGGGCCCAGGUGAACCGGGACUAAUGCCUUAGCCGCACGAACCGAGAUAAAUGCACCCAUUGGUCCCGGUUCUGAACUGAACCGGGACUAAUGAGCUUACCCGGCCUGGACCAAAGCCCCCUUUUCUACUAGUGAACAUGCAGCACCCUCCAUCUCCUCUCACCAUAGGGUGCAAAUGAAUCGAUCGGCAAGGAAGAUGACCAGCCGACAUAAUUUGUAACCGGUCAUCUGUUACUAAUGCACACAAUAUUUUAUUGCCUGGCACAGGUUGUCUUCUGCAUUCCACAUCCCAUCGUGACUCCCUAACCUAGACAAGGGUCGGGCCAAAUUCUCUACACUGGCUUUUUUCCCACCCCUCCUCCAUUCUCCGGUAUGCCAUAGUUACUAGCCUACUGAAGCCCCCUCUACAGCAUGGGCAUUCAACUGUAGCACCUCUAUAAUUUUCAAAUUGCAUAAAGAUGCAUGGAACAGGUAGUAGCGCUGCAAUAUCGAAGUGAAAACCAAAGCAUAUCCAAAACACCAUUGUUGGCUGGAUGGAGAAGGUGAAGGAAUCAAAACUCAAGAUGGAUAGUAUUCCACAAAUUUGUGCCGUUUGUAGAUCAAUUAGGUGAGAUGAGGUCCUUCACCCAACGUCUCUUGCUGAACUUUGCACCUACGGUUUGUCCUCUUUGAUUCCGGUAAGAAAAAGGUCUUAUCAAUAAGUUGUAAAUAGAAUCGCUAGUUUGAGAAUGUUGCAAUAUGUAGCAACACGCCCUAGCUCAAUGAUGGUGGCCUCACGGCCGCUAGCCACGGUGGUGUGGCCAAGGAUUUCGUGCGGGUCCUGGACGUGUGUGGUGCAUGGAGAUCACCGUGGGAGGAAAGUAGUCUAAAUCGACUACGGCACAUUCCUUGCUCCCUCCUGAACUCAAGCCGCCACACCGAUGGAAGGCGCUACCACUGCCGUGCGGUCCUAUUGACGUGCUCGGGAGUACAUCAUGCCCUCCCCGCAGGGCUGCCGUCAUGUUGGUCGCGAUUGCAUCUGUCCCAUCGAUUGUUGUUGAUUGGGAGCUAUACAUAUUCUCGAGUCUGUAGUUUUUUUGUAGGUUGUAAUUUGGGUAUUGCAUAAUCGAAGAAAUCGCCGUUCAACUAAGAAAAAAAACUACCAAAUUUCUUGCCUCAUAUUGCACUGCUUCAUCUCACACCAGUUUAAGUAUAGAACAAAGAGCCUUUCUCCGGGUCUUUUGAUGAUUUGAUAUACGGAACUUUGUAGUGUGAUGAUUCGAACGACAUAUAUAUAUAUAUAUAUAUAUAUAUAUAUAUAUAUAUAUAUAUAUUCCAUUGGCACUUACCAUUAUACUAUUUAGUAUUUACUGAAAUGGCAGGCUAGCUUCUUUUUCCAAGAAUAACUAAUAUAUAGCAUAUAUUGCUGAAGAUUAUCAUUCCUCUCUAAUCAUAUUGGCUGUUUCUCAUUUGCAGACAAGUAGGGGCGAGAAGUGUGAAACAGCCAAGUGAUAUAGUCUAUUAAAACACUGCAGAUCUAAUGAAGGUGACUGAAAGGGAAUCAGUAGCAUUGAUUAUCUGGCUAAUAUACUUUUUCCUCUUGAUGAUGAUUCUUUUGGAAAAUAAUGGUGUACAAUUUUUGUUCUACAAAAUAUUAUAGAUAUGUGCUAUUCUCAAAAAACCUGAUAACAUGUUAUCGUCAGGAGUCAUUGUUAUUCAUAACGAUGAUAAUUUUGAUUAUCAAUUUCAUAUGUUCUUAACCGUAUUAUCAAUAAUUUGUGUGCUACUAAUUCCCGCUGCAACGCUCCAGUUUUCAUUAUAGUGGGGGAAGAAGAAAUACUGUACGAUGGCUAAGGAAAUAGCCAGGAGGAGUAGAGAAGAACAAAAUAGAAUUGAAAGCCAGCACUACCAGACGAAUGCUGAGCAAAGAAAAGGUGUCACGACUUGUCGACUAGCAUGAGUAUCAUCUGCUCACGAGAACAUAUCCGCGGCGGCGAACACGAGGUCCAUCACCCGGCCAAGCAGCCGGAUGGACCGUCCGCUGCGGCGUGACGACUUGCGGCCACGAGGAGGCGUGUCAGCGCUCACCGGUGCUGCGCAGCGGGAAGUAGAUGAAUAGGCGCACGCCGGCGCGGCAGAAGGAGACUGCGCCUGCGCGUCGCUGGCCAUGGUCCCAUGGCGAUCAUGGUCGCUCGCGCACUGACUGUAACACAGAUGGGAUCGCGGUCGCGAGCGGCUGAUUGCGGAGCCGAACUCUCGGUCUCUCGCCUGGGAGGGCCGAUGGGAUCGCGUGCGCGUUGGAGCCGAGGUCCCAGCCGAGCUGAGGCAUCACGAGGAGCGGCGGGCGAUUGCCUUAGCCCGUAAGAUUGCAUCAGCCAUCACGUGUUGCGCAUGGGGCGCCGGCAUGCACAGGCGCGGCUCUGCAUACCGGAUCUACGGAAUUUUUGCCCCACCUAACCACCGCUUCUGGGCAUUCCCGGCUGCGAGCGAGGGCGGUAUGGUCGCGCUGGAGGGGUUGCUACUCCUCAAUUCGGGCGUCAUGGCCAUGCGACGGGAGCAAUAGGAUCGAUUGUCAGCCGGGAGCAAGAAAGGGAAGGGGGACGCGAACCUGCGCGGUGAAUCGAUGACGGCCGCCCGCCGGCCGCGGCGGCGGCACAUCCCGAUGGCGGUGCUAUCUCCCUCAAUUCCACAGCUCCGCUCGCGCUCGCGCUCCCGCUCCCCAUCAAAAUCGUCAGGCCCG